AGUGAACGCUGGCGGUAGGCCUAACACAUGCAAGUCGAACGGCAGCACAGUAAGAGCUUGCUCUUACGGGUGGCGAGUGGCGGACGGGUGAGGAAUACAUCGGAAUCUACUUUUUCGUGGGGGAUAACGUAGGGAAACUUACGCUAACACCGCAUACGACCUACGGGUGAAAGUAGGGGAUCUUCGGACCUUGCGCGAUUGAAUGAGCCGAUGUCGGAUUAGCUAGUUGGCGGGGUAAAGGCCCACCAAGGCGACGAUCCGUAGCUGGUCUGAGAGGAUGAUCAGCCACACUGGAACUGAGACACGGUCCAGACUCCUACGGGAGGCAGCAGUGGGGAAUAUUGGACAAUGGGCGCAAGCCUGAUCCAGCCAUACCGCGUGGGUGAAGAAGGCCUUCGGGUUGUAAAGCCCUUUUGUUGGGAAAGAAAAGCAGCAGGUUAAUACCCCGCUGUUCUGACGGUACCCAAAGAAUAAGCACCGGCUAACUUCGUG
rnacentral:rRNA from 1 species